UCUACGAAGCCAAUUUUGACGCGGCUCGCCCUGGCUGGUGGCGCAGAGUAGGAGCUCGGCGCCCUACUCCCAUUCAUCGGCCGCUGGCUGCGGUGGAGCAGCUUGGCCCUCUCCUAUCCCUUCGAAGGCGGUUGGUGGCGUGGAGAAGAACUGCUAGGCCGGGCCACCGCGGAAUGUCACCAGAGGCUGGCACCUACGCUCGAAGGACCAAGAUAAACGAGUUUCUCUUCCGUUCCUACGAGGGGAUGCCGAAUCGGUGCGCAUCAUGUCCAUCUGCCUCGCCUCCUCUGUCGCUACAUUGGCUUUGUGUUGUUGCCUUUUGGAGUCUUGGAGAUGCCAACAUCGUGGAGCAGCAUCGAAGGGGCAAUACACCUAAGAGCAUUGGCAGAUCGGAAGGGCUGGUUGUCGUGGUUGUGGCGGUUGGUUGGUGUGCCGGUCGGCGAAGGGAAGAGCAGCAGCGCCUGGCAGCCGGAGGCCAAUUUUUAGGUCGAGGAACAUGGGGGUGAUGGAGGUGGCUGAUGUUCAAGUCGGACGGUUUCUUUGAUUUAGACCGAUCAGACAAAACUCAGGACAAAUGUGGUGAUCUCGCAGAGGCAAAGUAAUCCGGAAGCAAAGCUACAUGCUAAGAAGCCUACAAUUGAUUCAUAGUGUAACACCGGCGCAAGAUGCCCAGGGAGAAGCUGCAUCCGUCUUCGUGUGGCCGUUAGAAUUGCCUGAUCAACCUGCUGCCAGUAGUCCAGUUCAUCUCAUAAUCCAAAUUAUUAUGGCUGUUUCAGUCUCAAGGAAGACUUGCCUCAGCUGAUUAUGGCAACGUGUAUCAGUGUACGUGUCUUAUGGGUCACACAAUCAAGUAGAAGAGAGGAGGAACUCAACAUUUACAGAAUCAUUAAACAAAGAGGAUAUCGCAGGGCUGUGUAAUGUGAGUUAGCAAGUUCAAAUCCGUCUAUUCUUUCGUCCUUGAAUAACUCCGGUCCUUUUAGUUUUGUUUCCAUAUGAUGCCAAAUAACCCUGAACACAAGAGCUAGCUCUAUUUAAAUAGAAGUAUGUAAACCAUAA